UGGUAGAUGCACCCUGAAAAGUCCCACUGGCAAUAGCCAGGGGAUUUUUUU
rnacentral:sRNA from 1 species